rnacentral:rRNA from 1 species
GAUUAACGCUGGCGGCGUGCCUAACACAUGCAAGUCGAACGAGGUAGCAAUACCUAGUGGCAGACGGGUGAGUAACGCGUGGUCAACCUACCGUUGAGUGGGGGAUAACUAGCCGAAAGGUUAGCUAAUACCGCAUACGUCUCCGAGUGGCAUCACUUGGCGAUAAAAGGAAGCAAUCCGCUCGAUGACGGGACCGCGUCCCAUUAGCUAGAUGGUGGGGUAACGGCCUACCAUGGCACCGAUGGUAGCUGGUUUGAGAGAGCGACCAGCCACACUGGGACUGAGAAACGGCCCAGACUCCUACGGGAGGGCAGCAGUGAGGAAUUUUCCGCAAUGGGCGCAAGCCUGACGGAGCGACGCCGCGUGUGGG